UUUUUUUAGUUUAGGAUUUUUUUAUCUGUAUCUGUUUUUUCUUUCUACUGAAUUUUGAUAAAUUGUUUCUUACCUUCAACUAUAAGAGGUAUAUCCACCUGAAAAAAAAAAAAGGCAGGAGAGAAAUAAGUAGAAACAACCUUUGUAAAAUCCCACACUUAUCUAAGAGGAUAAAUACAUUUCAUGAUAAAUCUAUGAUUUUCUUUUAGUUUUCUCCAGGAUUCCUGUUUUAUGAAUGGGAGAGUCAGACCAGACAGACAGACUUCUUUUGACUUGGGUGAUCUGAGUACAACCACACUGGAGUUGAGAACGGUUUGUCCAUUCACUAAACUUGAUUUUGGGUAUGAGGAAUGAAGAACUGUCGUUCCCUAAAUCCAAGCAGAGGACAUCUACAGGACACCUGGUGGAACUGGGCACAGUGACAAGAACUUUCAUUUCUUUGAAUACUCGUGUCAUUUUGGGAUUCUCCAGUUCUUCCUCUGUCAAAGUAUUCUUCAUGACAUCUCAAUCUAUUUCAACAGAAAAGCUUCUGCAAGACACAGCUUAUAGG